UGGGGAAUAUUGCACAAUGGAGGGAACUCUGAUGCAGCGACGCCGCGUGAACGAAGAAGGCUUUCGAGUCGUAAAGUUCUUUUAUAUGGGAAGAUAAUGACGGUACCAUAAGAAAAAGCCCCGGCUAACUACGUGCCAGCAGCCGCGGUAAUACGUAGGGGGCUAGCGUUGUCCGGAAUCACUGGGCGUAAAGGGUUCGCAGGCGGAAAUGCAAGUCAGGUGUAAAAGGCAGUAGCUUAACUACUGUAAGCAUUUGAAACUGCAUAUCUUGAGAAGAGUAGAGGUAAGUGGAAUUUUUAGUGUAGCGGUGGAAUGCGUAGGUAUUAAAAAGAAUACCGGUGGCGAAGGCGACUUACUGGGCUCCUUCUAACGCUGAGGAACGAAAGCGUGGGUAGCAAACAGG
rnacentral:rRNA from 1 species